rnacentral:rRNA from 1 species
AUUGAACGCUGGCGGCGUGCCUAACACAUGCAAGUCGAGCGGCAGCGCGGGAGCAAUCCUGGCGGCGAGCGGCGAACGGGUGAGUAAUGCUUCGGAAUCUGCCCAUGUAGUGGGGAAUAACCAGCCGAAAGGUUGGCUAAUACCGCAUACGACCUACGGGUGAAAGCAGGGGAUCGUAAGACCUUGCGCUAUUGGAUGAGCCGAAGUCGGAUUAGCUUGUUGGGAGGUAACGGCUCACCAAGGCGACAAUCCGUAGCUGGUCUGAGAGGACGACCAGCCACACUGGGACUGAGACACGGCCCAGACUCCUACGGGAGGCAGCAGUGGGGAAUAUUGGACAAUGGGGCAACCCUGAUCCAGCGACGCCGCGUGUGUGAAGAAGGCCUGCGGGUUGUAAAGCAC